CCUACGGGUGGCACCAGUGGGGAAUAUUGGACAAUGGGCGCAAGCCUGAUCCAGCCAUGCCGCGUGUGUGAAGAAGGCCUUUUGGUUGUAAAGCACUUUAAGCGAGGAGGAGGCUACUUGGAUUAAUACUCUAGGAUAGUGGACGUUACUCGCAGAAUAAGCACCGGCUAACUCUGUGCCAGCAGCCGCGGUAAUACAGAGGGUGCGAGCGUUAAUCGGAUUUACUGGGCGUAAAGCGUGCGUAGGCGGCUUUUUAAGUCGGAUGUGAAAUCCCUGAGCUUAACUUAGGAAUUGCAUUCGAUACUGGGAAGCUAGAGUAUGGGAGAGGAUGGUAGAAUUCCAGGUGUAGCGGUGAAAUGCGUAGAGAUCUGGAGGAAUACCGAUGGCGAAGGCAGCCAUCUGGCCUAAUACUGACGCUGAGGUACGAAAGCAUGGGGAGCAAACAGGAUUAGAUACCCUAGUAGUC
rnacentral:rRNA from 1 species